rfam:Calocera cornea HHB12733 unplaced genomic scaffold CALCOscaffold_47, whole genome shotgun sequence.
GUUUCCAUGGCCUAGCGGUGGGGCAUCUCGUUGUGGCCGAGAAGGCGCGUGUUCGAUUCACGCUGGGAACA